GCUGUUUCCUGGAAGUUGUUCCAGAUUUGUGGUGCAUAGAUGCUGAAUGCUGCUUCUUCAUGUUUGGUUCUGGUUCUGGAUGCAGAGCAGAACCAGGAGACCUGAGAGGCCUGGAAGGUUGCUACGACAGCAGCAGAUCUUUAAUGUAUUGUGGUA